rnacentral:tRNA from 1 species
GGAGAGAUGCGUGAGCGGUUUAAACGGCAUGCCUGGAGAGCAUGUGUACUCGCAAGGGUACCCAGGGUUCGAAUCCCUGUCUCUCCG